AUCUCAGUGUCCCUUAAGGGUCUGAGGCUGCACCCACUUCAUUUAUUACACACCAGGAGAGCAGAGGGACCAGGCUUGGAGCGGACUCAUCGCAGCUCUUGCACCUGUCCAGCCGACCAUGUUUUUUCUUCCAUUUGCUGCAUUCCUUGCCGGAAUCAUAUGCACUGCAUUUGUAGUGAGGAAAUGGUAUCAAUAGACUGAGUCUACAUGAAUGCCAACUUUGCAGGUUUCCAUGCUGGGCCUGACUCUGCCCUCUGAGCAGCCGCCAAUUGCUUAAUGAUUCUCUACUAUCCAUGCAACUGAACAAAAGCAAGAUUCCUUCCUUCCAAGCACUGGAUUUGCCUUCAAACCGCCAGUGCUGGAAUGCCGAAAUCCUUUCCACAGCUUCUGCUUUAAAUGGCUUACGUUCAUUUUAUUAAUAAAAUCACAUUAAACAAUAAACGAA